rnacentral:rRNA from 1 species
AGAGUUUGAUCAUGGCUCAGGAUGAACGUUGGCGGCGUGCCUAACACAUGCAAGUCGAACGCAAAUAGCAAUAUUUGAGUGGCGCACGGGUGAGUAACACGUAGCUUACCUCCCUCCAAGCGUGGGAUAACGUUCCGAAAGGAAUGCUAAUACCGCAUAAGCUCACGAGCUAUAGAGGCUUGUGAGAAAAGGGGCAACUCACUUGGAGACGGGGCUGCGGCCCAUCAGCUAGUUGGCGAGGUAACGGCUCACCAAGGCGACGACGGGUAGGGGACCUGAGAGGGUGACCCCCCACACUGGGACUGAGACACGGCCCAGACUCCUACGGGAGGCAGCAGUGAGGAAUAUUGCACAAUGGGCGCAAGCCUGAUGCAGCGACGCCGCGUGAGUGAAGAAGGCCUUCGGGUCGUAAAGCUCUUUUCUGCGUGACGAGCAAGGACGGUAGCGCAGGAAUAAGUCUCGGCUAACUACGUGCCAGCAGCCGCGGUAAAACGUAGGAGACAAACGUUAUCCGGAGUUACUGGGCGUAAAGGGCGUGUAGGCGGUUUGUUAAGUCUGGCGUGAAAGCUCUCGGCUAAACCGGGAGAGGUCGUUGGAUACUGGCAAACUUGAGGAUGGUAGAGGCGUGUGGAAUUCCGGGUGUAGUGGUGAAAUGCGUAGAGAUCCGGAGGAACACUAGUGGCGAAGGCGACACGCUGGGCCGUAUCUGACGCUAAAGCGCGACAGCAUGGGGAGCAAACGGGAUUAGAAACCUCGGUAGUCCAUGCCGUAAACGAUGUCAGCUAGGUGUUCAAGACUCGCAGAGGCUGGGGUACCGAAGCAAACGCGAUAAGCUGACCGCCUGGGGAGUACGGUCGCAAGGCUAAACUCAAAGGAUUG